rnacentral:siRNA from 1 species
AACUGGAUUAAGGGCUUGAUUGGU